UACGGAGGGUGCAAGCGUUAAUCGGAAUUACUGGGCGUAAAGCGUGCGUAGGUGGUUCGUUAAGUCCGUUGUGAAAGCCCCGAGCUCAACUUGGGAAUUGCAGUGGAUACUGGCAGGCUGGAGUACGGUAGAGGAAGGUGGAAUUCCCGGUGUAGCAGUGAAAUGCGUAGAGAUCGGGAGGAACACCAGUGGCGAAGGCGGCCUUCUGGACCAGUACUGACGCUCAUGCACGAAAGCGUGGGGAGCAAACAGG
rnacentral:rRNA from 1 species